ensembl:snoRNA
AUUGUGGUAAGUUUUAAAACUAAGCUGAUUCUGCUGUAUCUGUGACAUCUGGGCAAAGAGCAAGUGGCUGUUUCUAUGCUCUGUGUUCAGAAACCAGUGAGCACUAAGAAUGGUUUAUAGCCUCACAUUU